rnacentral:lncRNA from 1 species
ACAGUGUUGAGAUCAUAGCGAAGAUACUCAGCCCUAAGGCGGAGAUCAUUUUGAACAUAGGGCCAAGCCUUCUUGUCAAUGAGCGGCUUCACACCCACAAUGUCCUUGGCUGAUUCCUUGGCUCUCACUGCUGCUUGAGCUGGGUCAAGUGGCUGCAGGUAAAAUCUCUUCUUCAAUGGUAGAUCCAAGUCUCUUGGCUGAUCAGAGUUUAAAGUCCCAGCUGCCAACACAAAAGUUCAAAAUUUUGGCCAUUAUAGCUUGAAACGUCACUGUCACAUUAAUACAAAUGGGUGGAAGAGAUAAUGAACUUACGCAGUCCGCCGGAGGGAGGAGGAGGAGGACCAAGCUUAAUAGAAAGGGCUUCAGCAAGCACCGCUUGAGCGAAAGACCCAGAAGCCAAACCAGCGGCAACAAGACCCAGCACAGCUCGACGGCUGGGUUCAGGCUCAGCAGCAGAAGGUACCUGUUGGUAAGCUCUAAUAGUGAGACCAGGCCUGGAAACAGCUACCCUUGUGUUGUUGCUAGGGACGUUCAAGCGAGUUGAGCCACUGAUUUGGAGACUGCCUUCAAGGACAGCCAUUGAAGCCAUUGCUUGUGCCAUUUUUGCUUGGGCUGAGUUUAGAUUUCUGGUUUAGCUUUCAAGUGUGGAAUAAAGGAGAUUAUAUUUUUGGGAU